rnacentral:misc_RNA from 1 species
CGCACUGAACGAAGUUGGCCCCCGAAGCUCUUCCGUCUCCCCCCCGGGCCUCCCGGGGAGGUUGCGGGCGGCGAGGGGUGCCUCCGGCCGCACGCCCAUUCUUGUCUACUGACCCGGUUGCCUCGGCGGGCCGCGCCUGCUGUGCUACAGCGGCCGUUCGGGGGGGACGCCUGAGGGGGGGACUCUUGUUUCCUAGGCCACGCCCCGGGCAGCGCUCGCCGGAGGAUUACUCUGGAAAACACACUCUUGAAAGAACAUACCGUCUGAGCGAGCAACGCAAAUCAGUUAAAACUUUCAACAACGGAUCUCUUGG